UCUCGAUUGGUCUAGUGGUCAGGAUACCUGCUUGUCAUUAGUUGAUGUUAAUCCCACGAUCGUGGAGACUAACGCCCACGAUCUUCUAACAAGCAAAUCGCAGGUGGACGGGGUUCGAUUCCCCGAUCGAGAG